GACGAACGCUGGCGGCGUGCUUAACACAUGCAAGUCGAACGGAAAGGCCCUGCUUUUGUGGGGUGCUCGAGUGGCGAACGGGUGAGUAACACGUGAGUAACCUGCCCUUGACUUUGGGAUAACUUCAGGAAACUGGGGCUAAUACCGGAUAGGAGCUCCUGCUGCAUGGUGGGGGUUGGAAAGUUUCGGCGGUUGGGGAUGGACUCGCGGCUUAUCAGCUUGUUGGUGGGGUAGUGGCUUACCAAGGCUUUGACGGGUAGCCGGCCUGAGAGGGUGACCGGCCACAUUGGGACUGAGAUACGGCCAAGACUCCUACGGGAGGCAGCAGUGGGGAAUAUUGGACAAUGGGCGGAAGCCUGAUGCAGCAACGCCGCGUGCGGGAUGACGGCCUUCGGGUUGUAAACCGCUUUCGCCUGUGACGAAGCGUGAGUGACGGUAAUGGGUAAAGAAGCACCGGCUAACUACGUG
rnacentral:rRNA from 1 species